AAUGAACGUUGGCGGCGUGGAUUAGGCAUGCAAGUCGAGCGAGAACCCGCAAGGGGGACAGCGGCGAACGGGGUAGGAAUACGUAGGUAACGUACCCUCGGGGCGAGGACAGCCACGGGAAACUGUGGGUAAUACUCGAUAAACUUCCCAAUCAUUAUGGAAGGGGAAGCAAUGGGUGUGAUUCCACCUGAGGAGCGGCUUACGCAGUAUCAGCUAGUUGGUGAGGUAACGGCUCACCAAGGCUACGACGCUUAGGGGGUGUGAGAGCAUGGCCCCCACACUGGCACUGAGACACUGGCCAGACACCUACGGGUGGCUGCAGUCGAGAAUCUUCGGCAAUGGACGCAAGUCUGACCGAGCGACGCCGCGUGUGGGAUGAAGGCCUUCGGUGUAACCACUGUCAGAGGGGAUGAAGUGUACGAGAGUUAUCUCUUGUAUUUGACAGAGCCUCAGAGGAAGCACGGGCUAAGUUCGUGCCAGCAGCCGCGGUAAU
rnacentral:rRNA from 1 species